GCACUCCAGCUGGGUGACAGAUGAGACUCCGUCUCAAAAAAAAAUUAACAUGCUUACCUAAAAUCUACCAACAAUUUCAGAUAUUCUGCAUAUUCUUUUUUCAUAAAACAUGUCUCUACUUAUAUUUCAAAGUCAUAAACUAU